rnacentral:rRNA from 1 species
ACGAACGCUGGCGGCGUGCUUAACACAUGCAAGUCGAACGGAAAGGCCCUGCUUUUGUGGGGUGCUCUAGUGGCGAACGGGUGAGUAACACGUGAGUAACCUGCCCUUGACUUUGGGAUAACUUCAGGAAACUGGGGCUAAUACCGGAUAGGAGCUCCUGCUGCAUGGUGGGGGUUGGAAAGUUUCGGCGGUUGGGGAUGGACUCGCGGCUUAUCAGCUUGUUGGUGGGGUAGUGGCUUACCAAGGCUUUGACGGGUAGCCGGCCUGAGAGGGUGACCGGCCACAUUGGGACUGAGAUACGGCCCAGACUCCUACGGGAGGCAGCAGUGGGGAAUAUUGCACAAUGGGCGGAAGCCUGAUGCAGCAACGCCGCGUGCGGGAUGACGGCCUUCGGGUUGUAAACCGUUUUCGCCUGUGACGAAGCGUGAGUGACGGUAAUGGGUAAAGAAGCACCGGCUAACUACGUG